CCUACGGGAGGCAGCAGUGAGGAAUAUUGGUCAAUGGGCGCGAGCCUGAACCAGCCAAGUAGCGUGAAGGAUGAAUGCCCUACGGGUUUUAAGCUUCUUUUAUAAAUGAAUACAGUGACGCACGUGUGCCUUUUUGUAUGUCCUUUAUGAAUAAGGAGCGGCUCAUUCCUUCCCAGCAGCCGCGGUAAUACGGCGGAUCAUAGCGUUAUACGGAUUUAUUGGGUUUAAAUGGAGCGGAGAGGGGUUGUUAAGUCAGUUGUGAAAGUGUGCUGCUCAACCGUAAAAUUGCAAUUGAUACUGGCAGGCUUGAGUACAGUUGAGGUAGGCGGAAUUCGUGGUGUAGAGGUGAAAUGCUUAGAUAUCACGAAGAACUCCGAUUGCGAAGGCAGCUUACUAAACUGUCACUGACAUUGAUGCUCGAAAGUGUGGGUAUCAAACAGGAUUAGAUACCCCUGUAGUC
rnacentral:rRNA from 1 species